CAAGGAAGGCAGCAGGCGCGCAAAUUACCCACUCCCGGCACGGGGAGGUAGUGACGAAAAAUAACGAUACGGGACUCAUCCGAGGCCCCGUAAUCGGAAUGAGUACACUUUAAAUCCUUUAACGAGGAUCAAUUGGAGGGCAAGUCUGGUGCCAGCAGCCGCGGUAAUUCCAGCUCCAAUAGCGUAUAUUAAAGUUGUUGCGGUUAAAAAGCUCGUAGUCGAAUCUGUGUCGUGCGCCGCCGGUUCAUCGCUCGCGGUGUCAACUGGCGUGUCGCAGGACGUCCUGCCGGUGGACUUAGCCGCGUCGUCGUCUCGCGCGGCGUCGCGGCGGUCCAACUUCAACAAUCCCACCGCGGUGCUCUUCGCUGAGUGUCGAGGUGGGCCGGCACGUUUACUUUGAACAAAUUAGAGUGCUUAAAGCAGGCUAAAAUUUCGCCUGAAUACUGUGUGCAUGGAAUAAUGGAAUAGGACCUCGGUUCUAUUUUGUUAGUUUUCGGAGCCCCGAGGUAAUGAUUAAUAGGAACGGAUGGGGGCAUUCGUAUUGCGACGUUAGAGGUGAAAUUCUUGGAUCGUCGCAAGACGGACUUAAGCGAAAGCAUUUGCCAAAAACGCUUUCAUUGAUCAAGAACGAAAGUUAGAGGUUCGAAGGCGAUCAGAUACCGCCCUAGUUCUAACCAUAAACGAUGCCAGCUAGCGAUCCGCCGACGUUCCUCCGAUGACUCGGCGGGCAGCUUCCGGGAAACCAAGCUUUUGGGUUCCGGGGGAA
rnacentral:rRNA from 1 species